rnacentral:rRNA from 1 species
GAUGAACGCUGGCGGCGUGCCUAAUACAUGCAAGUCGAGCGAACGGACGAGAAGCUUGCUCUUCUGAUGUUAGCGGCGGACGGGUGAGUAACACGUGGAUAACCUACCUAUAAGACUGGGAUAACUUCGGGAAACCGGAGCUAAUACCGGAUAAUAUUUUGAACCGCAUGGUUCAAAAGUGAAAGACGGUCUUGCUGUCACUUAUAGAUGGAUCCGCGCUGCAUUAGCUAGUUGGUAAGGUAACGGCUUACCAAGGCAACGAUGCAUAGCCGACCUGAGAGGGUGAUCGGCCACACUGUAACUGAGGCACGGUCCAGACUCCUACGGGAGGCAGCAGUAGGGAAUCUUCCGCGAUGGGCGAAAGCCUGACGGAGCAACGCCGCGUGAGUGAUGAAGGUCUUCGGAUCGUAAAGCUCUGUUAUUAGGGAAGAACAUAUGUGUAAGUAACUGUGCACAUCUUGACGGUACCUAAUCAGAAAGCCACGGCUAACUACGUG